GGCAUACAUACUCUUCAAGCUAUGUAGAAUGCUAAUAUCUACUUUAAAUUGCAAUCUGUAAAAAUUAUUCAAA
rnacentral:lncRNA from 1 species